CUGGGAAACUUCAGAAAACCCUGAGACCUAUCAGCUUACUGGGGGAGGGGGCAUCCCAGGGAUUUCUAGGAAUGUAAGCUCUGCCGAGGAACAGCUAUCUCUCCAGAGACACUUAUAUCAUGCCGGAAACCGGCAGAGGCCUUGACCGUAAGCCAGCCGGAAAUAUCCUGGCUUCAUUUUGCAGCCCAUAAGGCGUCAGGGACACCGGACUGGAGAGGCAGCAGGGAGGAUGCCCUGUGAAAUCUGGGUUUCCCACUAAGCCACGAGCCUGUGGUUAUCCUGAGCAGCUGCAGCGUGAUAAAGCAUUGUGGGAAUCGGGGAGAUUCCACUGUGAGCAAGUGGUAGGAGAGUGAUCCCACACUGUGAUUUGGUCCGAAGCUUCUCCGUGCCUCGGAAGGCAGAAAAGCUUUAAUUUUCCAAAGAGCAGUUUGUUCCACUUUUCUGAUUCCAGAAGUUGCAAGAGCGGUAUUUGUGACCCCAGCAUUUGAGUUUCUACAAGGUAUGAAUGGCCAAACUCACUUAGCAGAGAGGCACGAUUAAUGGCAAGAGGCAGCUAUGUCCUUCAGCAGGACCCAUUCUGCCAGUCUUGGAGACUCGUUUCUACCUUGUUCUUCUGGACAAUUACUCUCUGACUACAAAAGUAAGUAUUUGGGGGGGGAGGGUUUGGGCAGGAAAUCACAGCUGUAUUAAAACUUUCAUUAAGCAAAAUAAAAUGUCGAGGAGGAGAGGUAAUGGAGAAAUGAAGGGGGGG